AUACGUAGGGUGCAAGCGUUAAUCGGAAUUACUGGGCGUAAAGCGUGCGCAGGCGGUUUUGUAAGACAGUGGUGAAAUCCCCGGGCUCAACCUGGGAACUGCCAUUGUGACUGCAAGGCUGGAGUGCGGCAGAGGGGGAUGGAAUUCCGCGUGUAGCAGUGAAAUGCGUAGAUAUGCGGAGGAACACCGAUGGCGAAGGCAAUGCCCUGGGCCUGCACUGACGCUCAUGCACGAAAGCGUGGGGAGCAAACAGGAUUAGAUACCCUGGUAGUCCACGCCCUAAACGAUGUCAACUGGUUGUGGGGGAUUUAUUUUCUCAGUAACGAAGCUAACGCGUGAAGUUGACCGCCUGGGGAGUACGGCCGCAAGGUUAAAACUCAAAUGAAUUGACGGGG
rnacentral:rRNA from 1 species